AUCCCGGCCCCCGGUGGGAGCUGUGGUUCCUCUGAGCGUUCGCUGUCGCGCCUCCCGCGCUCUGGCUGCCCGUCAGCCCGCCGGCCCCUCGCACCUUUCACCAGUGAUAACGCAGAUCUUCGUCUGUAUCUGAAUGAAGGGUAAAAACGUGUUAACGUUCAAAACGACGCCACGAAUGUCAGUGAAGAGAGUGAGGCAGGGCGAGGAAGGGAAAGGCCUCGUGCAGAAGAUUGUACAUCGUGUGUAGCUGGGAGCGUGGCGCAGCAGGGCCGUGCUGAGGAGAGGCCUGCGCUGAGCCUGCUGCUGCCUUCUGUGGCUCUGCCACACUGUGCUGCGCAGGAGCAGGGCCAUGGCAUGUCCUGGCCUGUGUGGAAUCUGCUCCUGAGAUAGCGAUGUUUUCAGUGAGUAGCUCUGCCCUGCGGGCCUGGAGUUCCAGGCUGGAAGGAAGCGUGUCGUCGGUGGCCUUCACCUCCGUGUGAGAGCAGAUCUGGCUGUGUGCUGUGCGUCUUGCUGCUGCACAUUCAAACAAUUGGUUGAAAAAAGUGCUUUGUGCUUGGAACGGGAGGUUUUUAGAAUCUUCUACAAACACGAGGCCCUUCGGAGCGAGCGCGCUGCCUGCAGUAGAUGUUUUGCUGUGAGGGCUGUGGUGACUGCGUAUUUCAAAAAGGUGCAACAGUGAGCUGUCAAAGACUGCCUUGCUUCUUCUCCAGAGCAACCAUAAACUUUACAACUGAAAUUACUGGGAAGCUGAUGGGGAUUUGUAAUACAUGUGCUAAGGGAAAACUUGCAUUGGCUGCAGGUAGAGCUGCUCUGCAAUGAGAUCCCAGGAACAAACAACUUAUAUCUGUUAAGAAUGUCUUCAGGAGGAUGUAACAGCCAAAGAUCCUGACAAGUCAGCAGAGAAGGACUUGAGUAAUAUAACAAGGAGUUUGAGUUACUUGUGACCCUUUAUAUCUCAAGACUUAGAAUUUGUCAGGCUGAUGGUAUGCAGCACGGAUAAAAAGAAAGGCCUUUUUUUGGUACUAAUUUGGCAAUAUAACCUUAAUUUAAAAAAAAUAUAUCAAAAAUGGGGAGGGUGGAGGAAUGGGCAACUGAUUGGCAUGUUGUGCCAGGGUAAUUCACUUAGACAUGACUGCUAAAAAUUGAAUCACGGUAAGGCAGAAAUAACUAGUAUGGGAGUCUGGACAAACAGCUGUAGCAGAUCAGUAGUUUUUUCUGUAAAACUCACCUUUCUGUAGGCAACUGCAGAUCUGCAUGAACAGCAUUUGCAGCUGAUAAAUGCCUGUCUAAGAGCUCGAUUCUGAAGCUCAAAUAAAUGCAGUUCCAUCAAGCACUUGUCACAGAGGCCACUGCAGCAAACAGGAGAAAGUUAAGCACCACAGAGACUACCAAGAAUUACUUCAGUGAGUUGGAAAGUAAAAUUAAGAACAAGAAAAAACAUUUGGAAGAAGUUGGGAAAAGUGGUUUGAUUGUUGGAGUGCCUGAUGUCCUUGAACAGACCUCUACUCUCCCCAUCUCUACCUUCUCUGUCCCCUGACGCAGUGGAUACUUUCGCCUUUUAUUUUAAUGUGUACAGAACUGGGCUUUAUGUACUAGCGUAGCUUUCAGAAACAUUCUUUGAAUGUAGAGAAAGAUCCUUAGGCAAUUCCAGCAACAUAGAUUUUAUUUUCAUUUUCUGGAGAGAAAAAGAGAAAGCGCUGAAAGCACUGAUGAUAACAUUUCAUAUUAAAAAAAAAUUAAAAAAAAAUCAUGUAGUAUAUUUUAAAUGUCUAAGAACAAAUAUUCAAGGAAAACCAAAAAUCUUUUCACCUUGAAUCUCAGACACAGUCUCUGGAUCUGUAACCUGCCAGUUUCUUUUGUGUUCACAGGCAGGUACCUUUUUCAAGCUGCCAUUUUUAGUUUUGGUUGUUUUUCUCAUAAGGGAAUCCUUCCAUGCUCCAGGUUAAUUAUGUUUCUCUCCUCUCAAGUUUCUUUACUACCCAGAAAUUUAAGCUAAUGCAGUCUAUUUUAGGCUUUUAGAAGUGCUCAGUGCUAUGAUAUCUGUGCACUAAUCUGCACAGAUUAUACAAAUCAGGGAUCAUCCUAGCACAUAGUAUCUUUUGGCUGGCCUGAACAGUUGUCUCGGAGUAGUACUGCAUUGUGCUAUGCAGAAUGUGUACAUUUUAAUGAGAUGAGUUAAUCCCUGUAUUCUUGGAAAAGACCUUGAUAGUAUUAUCUGACUUUACUUACAAUACUGUUUGUAUUAGAGUACACAGAGCUAUUCUUGGUCUGCCAGAUCAGUUAAAGAAAAACAGCCUCUUACAGACAACUAAUAUUUAAUUAUUUACAAGCUACUAAUCAGUCACUGCAGUGAGUUCAGAAACUAGAAAUGACUGCUGCAUUUGCUGAAGGCACUGAAACAAAGAGUAGUGGUGACACUGGUGAGGUCCUAAGAAAGAACUCGCUGGCAUUUUCCAGUUGCAGAGUCUCAGUAGCACUCAGCUCCAGCUUGGGUCAGUAUUAGCAGUGACAGCCAAGUGACUGAGCUGCACACAUUACUAAAUAAUGCCAAAUGUCAGAGUUUUCUAAAGAAUCCCUUGCCUGCAGUUGCUGCCAUCCUUGUCCAUAGUGCAGUCUUCAAAGUUCGUUAGCUGACAGCAACAAGUAUUUCACCGACUCCUAGGAAAACAGCUCCUAGUUGUAGUUGUUCUGCAGCCCUUUUUCCGGUUGAACUCCGUCAGAUUUCACUUUCAAAAUAAUUAACCUGGACUUGCAGGGAAGGUCUGUAGCCUGGAUUUGUACUUGGGAGCAACCGGAACUCCUGCCUGAAUCUAGACAUAUAAUAACUGCAGGUUGUCAGUAUUCUUAAUGGAAGAUGGACAGAGAUUUGGACAUUAGAAGAGCACUGUAGCUAGCUUUGUCACCAGAGAAAUAUCAAGCAUUUCCUAGAUUUUAUUUAUUUGUAUUUUCAGUAUAAAGUUCAAAAAAGAACCACAAAAGUAACUUUCACUGCCUUGUAGAACACUUCCCAGUAUCUGGAAUAGGAGAGCAUUUACCUACACAUCUUUGGUAAGAAAGCUGGAAAAUAUGAGCAGAAUGUAUCUGAGGAGCUUAACAUUUCAGUACUUGUAUACUUCUAAGGUUUUGAAGUAAUUAAUUUUCAUGGCUUAGCUUGCAGUGCUUUGCUGUGUGACACUGACAGUACUCUAGAACCCUUUAUUGAUGUAUUUUUGUUCACUUCAGAUUUCUUUUCCAUUACUACUUUGUGGAGUAAUUUACAUAUAUGCAAAAUGAAUGGAAAAAAGUCAAAAUUGUGGCCUUUCUCACUGAAGUUUUGCAAGUGCUAAUAAUAACACAGAAUGCAUGGCAACUGUGGAAUCUAGCCUUCAGGCGAGAAUCCAAUUUCACACAAUUCUUGUCCCGUCCUUGUUUUGGUAGUAUUCUUAAAUUAUAUCAGGACUUUUUUCACAAACUAAAAAUCAGGCAGCAAGCUACCAUUCAAAAAUCAUUGCGAAAGUCACUGACUAACAUAAAUAUUUAUCCAUAGCAUUGAUAAUAAUAGUGAGAAGCAAGACAGGAUGGAAUGGGAGCUUGGAAUAUCGUAAAGGAAUUGGAGGAGAAGGAUAGAAGCUCAUUUCCAUUUAGCAAUUAAGGAAGGGGUCCGAUUUUAUCUGCUGCAUCAGACGGAGGAAAGAAAAGAGAGAAGGGGCCGUGAGCUGGGUGUUUCUUUGUGAGCAUCCGAGUUGUGGGGAGAAGGAUCAGUGGAGGAAUAGUGAGAAGUAACUGUCGAUAUCCGCAGUAAAAAAUGUCUUAGCAGGCUGGCAGUCAGCUCGUCAGAGAUUCUGUAGCCCUCGUAUUAGCCAGGUGGCCAGUUCCCCACUUAGCCUGCCAAGUGAGUUGAUCAUCAUCUAGGAGCCAGACAGCGCCAGGUGGCCAGAUCCAUCACUCAGCAUCCAAUUAACAAUGACACUGGUUCCAAGCCAAGUGGAAAGGCAGCUCUGAGACGGAUAGGGAGCAUCGCUGCACCACCAGUGCAGACCCUAUGUCAGGUCCAGCUGCCUUGAAUUUUUAUAGAAAGCUUUUUCUUUUUUUUUGUUCUUUUCCUUUUUUUGAUUCUUUAAGGGUUUUGUGGUUGUUUUUUGUUGGUGGUGGUUGUUUGGGUAUUUUUGCUUGUCUUUGAGCAGUAAAGCUGUCUAAAUCUUCUCACUUUCACCACUAUUUUCUUUUAUGGCAGUUCUGUGCCUAAGAGCAGAUGUGCCACAUUACACAUGAUCUCUCCAUGCUAGAAAGAAACUACCAGGUCAUUUACCUUCUGAGCUGCGUUGGAGUUCUAACCCCAUUAAGCGAAUGCUAACCCAUGUCUGGUGCUGGAUGUCAUGGCACAGGUGGAUCUUGCCUGAUUUCUUUUUUAAUUUCUUAGCAAGAAAGGAUCCUUCACUCUUAUUUCACCACGAACCUUAGAUAUAGGAGUAGUUUUUGAACUGUCUUUCAUACUGUUUCAACCUUACAUAAAAGCAAUUGUAUUUCAAAGGCUUUUCCAUUUCAUUAGAUUUUCUAAGAGAGAUCCCUUCCAUUUGUUUAAAUGGAGAUAUGGAAUUCAUUUUUAUUUUAUGAUGAUGUGGGUAUAAUCAUGCACUUACUAGAAAGCUCUGGAGAAGAGUCAGAAUUUGGAAGAUAGCCCAAUGAAUGUGAUAGUUUAUUAGGAUUUGUUGUUAUCCACACCUGUGACUGUCCUGCAUGAAGCACUCUUCUGUUGGGCCUUUGCCACCAGAGUGAAGCAUGUUUUCAGUGUUCUCCACUCCCUAGAAAUCAGAUUGAGACACGUGAGUUAAGAACAUUGUGGCAGUUUUGUGAGCAUGUUGUGAAUAAAUAGAAGUCUUCAGUUUGUAAUGUCUUGCAUGAUAUUUAAAAAAUGGAGGAAGGAGAAUACUCAAAAGUGCAGCUCUGUUUAGGCCCCUCUCGCGGUCUGAAAACAGUGUUCCACCUUUGGGCUGGCAGUUAGGGCAAGAUCAACAGUUGUGAAUGAAGCAUGCCGACUGGUGAGAAGUGAGAUGAUGGUUUAUAGGAAUAGAGCUACAUAUGGCUUGAAGGAUGCAGCAGUUUGAGCUGCAGCAUCCAGUGACUCAUGGGCCACUCAGGGAAGGUGCACUCAGGAUGAAGCCUUGUCUGAAAUCUCUGUGCUGCCACUGUAGUUAGCACCAACAUAAAGCUCUGAUGGAGAACACAUAUUGGGAGUUUGUGAUUGUACCUGGGCAGCCACAGUUAAUAACAUUUCAAACAGUUUAACAGGCCAAGUAGUGGGUUUGUCCUAUCUGACUGCUUAGUUGUGUAUUAGUACAAGAGCCUGUGUGUAGGAACAAUUGGCUGCAUGGAAUGGAGAUACCAUCUUGUUAAAGAGAGGUGGUGGUUACCUCACCUGGCAAUGAAAUAGAGAAGAUCAGCAUUCACUGAAAGCUCUCAAAGACUUCAUUCAGUUGAAUCGUGUAAUACUUCUCUGUAGCAGAUCUCUCAGUGAUAAGACAGGAGUGGUGGUUUUGAUGCAUAACUCCUUGAAAUUAACACAACCUCCCAGCAUUUUGGGGUGAAGGAGUCCAUGAGUGGCAUGUUGCUACCUGGAGUUGGCUCACAGUAGGGAUGCAUUAGUCUCUCACCAGUUUCCAUAGAUGCAAAAUGGAGCUAACAAUGCUUAAUUAUCCACUUUAUCUACUAAGUAGGGUUAAGGCUGGGGACAUUGUGGCCAUUUAAUUACUCUUUGUAAUGAGCUCUGAAAGAAGUGACUUACAGCCAGUACGGCGUGAAUCAGGCUGCUGCCGGGCGCUCGGCCGAAGGGCGCAGCCCUGUCGCGGUGCCAAACGCCUCGCAUCAUCUGCUCGCCUCCCCCUUGCCGCACACAGCUGUGACAGUAACAAUUAUGCUGGGAGGAGUGCGUCUAUCUGUGGCAUUUCCACCCAUUUGAUCCCCUUCAGACAAUCACAAGGAGGUGGGGUUUCUGUCUUGCUUACGUGUCUGUGUUUUCAAAUGAGCCUCUCGUGUUGCCGCUCUGCAGUCAGCAUACCGCCAGGCUGCUCUGCGCUGCGUACAGCCCAGUGUCUCCACCAGCUGACAGCAACCUGUGGCUUGGCAGCUGCAGGCGGCUCCGUGCCAACAC